UCCGUCGACCGAAGGAGCACCAGGUAUUUCACUCGAGCAGUGGAGGCCAUGAGAGGGAGAUAGAAGAAGAAGCAGAGGCAGAAGCAAGUGGAAGGAGAACCUCGAGGUGCUGCGGCGCUCAGGCCUUGGUCGACUACGCCGCCCCUUCGCUCUCGCGCCGCCAGGGCCCUCUUGCUCUCAGCUUCCUCUCUUUCUCUCUCUCUCUCUCUCUCUCUCUCUCUAUAUAUAUAUAUAUAUAUAUAUAUAUCUCCCUCUCUCUCUCCUGUGCAUCUCAAUCAAUGGCCAGUGUCUGAUUUAUUGUUGAUUUGGCAGGGCAAGCUUGGCUGAUUUCCUGGUCCUGCUGCGAUUGGUUCCGGAUCUGACCGCAUACCUGUUUGUGUGUUCUACAGUCGUUUGUCAACAAGUCACCUUUUGGUUUGAUUGCAGGACCAGCUGUUGCACGCGGUGGUGCUCUGGCGCGUCGUCCCCAUCGUCGGAGCUUUCGGGAUCACCCUAUCUAAAACGGGGAGAAACUCUGGCAAUUCAUAUAAAUAUGUCGUUUCCUUCUUUUCCAUGUGAAGGACAAGGUAUGUGGAUGUUUCUGUUCAGAUAAAGCUGGAUUAGAUACAAUCAUGGAUGUGCAACCAUUAGUGUGUUCCUGGAUUUCUCAUUGUCUUUGUUUUCUUUCCUAAUUGCAAGAAGGUUAGUACCUUUUGCGAAUCACAUCUUUAUUUAUUUCUUAUCAGCAAGUCUUGGUAUACUAUGUAGUGAUUCUUUUCCAGUCCGAUGUUAUACUCUUCACAAGACUGCCAGUAGCACAUAAUUCGUGCUUAUAGUUUAAUAUUGCUAAAUCUUAACCAUGUUGCCAUGUUUGUUCUCUUAGUAAGAUCCUGAUGUCACAUUUAUACUCAUGCUGAAAGAUCUUUGGCUCUGUUGACUACUUUAUCAGUAAAUCAUUUUAGACUGGAGUUCACCAAAAAAGGUAACUAAAAUAUAUACAGUUUCUCGGUAGAUUAUUUGAGGCUGCUUUAUCUCUUAAGUACACGGUUGCCCACUUUUUCGGGUUUUAAGGUAUACACAAGAGUGCAUGUUUUAGUUAUUGUGCUUUCCUUAGCUCAUCAGCAGUUAUAGGAGGCAGACUGAUUCUUAAAUUGACUGAUGAGCUAGGCUUACGUAGAUGGUUGUCCUUUGUGGCUCCCCUUUAGUAACAUAGAUGAUUUUCUUUGGUGAAGCUGUUAGCCUGUAGAGAGGAAUAAACCGGCCACAAAUUUGUGAUCAAUCGAGUGGAGAGUCUAUUCGUUUGUUAGGUUAGACCGGCGACGUUGGCUGCAGCGGGACAGACGACGUCGGUAACAAGCAGUUCCUCCUCUUUGCCUCUGACGAAAAGGAUCAUCUGGUGAUGAACACCUCCUCUUCUCUGGGCUGGUUCCCAAGGGGCAGGAUUGCAGUCCUCCAGAGCUGCUGGGAAGAAGAUGGGCAAGCUCCUCUUGCUCUUGUACCCCUCUACUGUGAGAAUCUAUAUAUGUCACUUGCCUAGCUUGAUUUAGUUUCCAGCAGUAGAUAUUUAUGCAGAUUGUUUAUGUAUUAUGCAUCUGUGGAUUAUGAUAUGAAGUCGAUGCUUGUGUUUGAUAGGCGUGAUUCCUUACUCUAAUUAUUUGGCGUUUAUCCUUCCUUUAGAGUUCUAUGUUAGUUUUGCCAAUGCAGAAUUAUGCAAUCUUGGUUCAGUUUUACCGAUGCAGGAUUAUGGUUGUGUUAGAUCAAAAUUUACAUUGACUGCAUUACACUGUAAUGUCUUUUGGUUAGACUGGCAUGUAGAACAAACUAUAUGCUGGCCAUCAGCAUGUUUUAGACUCUUAGGCAUAUAUUAGAUAAGUAUAUUUAAGAGAUGAUUGAUGUUUUAUGAACAUCGAGAAAAGUAUUGGUUUGUGUUAUGGACUUACUGUGAAUGAUCAUAGAAAUUAUGUUGGAUCUGUUUCCUAUGUGCAUAGUUUCUUGUCCAACCUUGGAUGGGCAGAAAGAAUAACAUGUGAAUUCUUCCACUAGGUGAUCUUAAUAGCCAAAAUAUAUGAAGGCUAAUUUUGUCGGCCAACAAAGAUAAUAGCAAAUUCUGAUGCACCAAAUACUUAAAAUAAUUUAUUUUUGUUCCUAUUUACUAUUACUGAUUUGUUUCCGGUAAACCCCCUAGGUUAUAGCAUUGUGAAGUAGAAAGCAUGCUCCCAGUUUACUGUUUUUUCUGCUUAGUGUAAGUAAUAUAAUCUAAUGGGAUGGAGUACUGUCUAAUUCUUUUUCAUAUCACAUUAUUGCCACUUUAGACAUGGUAAUUGGUAGUAUAUAUACUUUGUGUUUGGAUGUGUGCAUUUUGUUGCCAUGGUCCAACAUUCUUACAAAAAUAGUAAUUAGGGUGUCCUGUUUGACGUUCUAUAUUUCUCUUUUAAUCGGAAACUUGUGCCAGAUGCUUCAUGUUUCCUUUUAAAAUAAAAAGAAAUGAGCUGCUAUUCUUAUUUAAUGGCAUUUUCUUUGUUCUCUUUUAAACUCAGUCCUCUUGUAAUGUGUGUUUUGUUCCUCUCCCAUGUAUUCCUUUUUUAUGCUUUAUGUGAUAAAAAGAAAUGAGCUGCUAUUCUUAUUUAAUGGCAUUUUCUUUGUUCUCUUUUAAACUCAGUCCUCUUGUAAUGUGUGUUUUGUUCCUCUCCCAUGCAUUCCUUUUUCAUGCUUUAUGUGAUUCUGUUUUUGUUGUAAUGCAUGCAAUAGACUUGUCAUUUGAUAGAUGCAAUAAUAGGCACUGGCUUAGGCACUGGCUUCUGUGGUGUAGAGACAAGCUGAAGUACUACAAGGACACAAUGGGGCAUUAUCUAAUGAGUUCUGGAAAUAGGUAAUCAUUAAGUAGAACCAUGAAGGCAAUGAUGGGGCAAAGCUUCUCUAGGAAAGGACUUGCGAUCCCCUUCGAGUACCGAGCGGUGGCACCGGGUAAGACGUUGAUGCAUCAAAAGACGGGUCUCGGCUGCAGUCUCCCUCCCUGCCCUGGAAUCCAAGCAUUUGUUGCAUAAAUGCGUGGGCUCCAUCUGUCCAUCCCUGUACCGAGCAGCAGAACGCACGCAAGAGGAUCAAGCCCAACCUAACGGACGCUACUCCUUCCUACACACCCCUGUGUCCCGUUCAGCUGGUGGGAUCUCACUUUUCGCUCUCUUUUCCUAAUUACAGUAUUUCGCAAGCUGGUAGAACUUGCAUGCCCAUAAGGCCAUAACAUAGGUUUCUUUGAUCAUUCUUGAUAACAAGAUAAAUUUAGAAUAUGGUCAUGAGAACUUUGGUUAUAUGUUGUCAUUUGGUUUAGAACUAUGUAGCUAUAGGCAUAUAUUUAAUUCAGCACAAUAUAUGUUAGAUCAAACAACUGAAUCCAUGUGUUACAAACGUUUGAUUUUGCCCCUUGCUCUGGUUCAUUCAGUAGGUUUAGUACCAAGAAUAGUACUCCCUCCGUUCCUAAAUACAAGUCUUUUUAGACAUUUCAAAUGAACUACAACAUACGGAUGUAUGUAGACAUAUUUUAGAGUGUAGAUUCACUCAUUUUGCUUCGUAUGUGGUCACUUGUUGGAAUCUCUAAAAAGACUUAUAUUUGGGAACGGAGGGAGUAUUUUCUUUCUUUGAUUAUUACUGUAUAGAGAAGAGUGACUAAGAGACCCGCUUGCCGCCCGGAGUCCCUCUGGGGAGGUCAUUCCCUCUAUUACCUUGUGUUUUUUGUGUUGUCACAUAGAUCCAAGCAAUUGUUUUACAUAGACUAAGCAAACAGAACACAAAAGUACACUAGCAAAUAUUUUAAUGUUCUCAUUCAGUCCUGCCCAUGAUUCAGGUUCUCGUUGCCUCUAUUUGCUUGUGUUUUUUGUGUUGCCAUGCAGACCACAGGUUGCAUGUAUGAAUAUCUAAGCGGGCUACUUAAUCUAUUUACUGAAUCAAGACAUGUUUAUAUAUGUCAAAACGUCUCGCAUAUGUUUGAGAGAGAAAAAAUAGUGUAUGUCAAUCUGGACAAUAAAUACACAUGUUGCUUGCAUGCCUUCAGA